AAGGGAGACCUAAUUCAGGUAGGAGACGAAAAAAUAGUAGUCCCAACCAAGAAUCAAUCCCAAAAGGUCGGAGCGAGGCGAAAUUGGCUUUCAAACUAGGUUCUGGGUUCAAACAAGACCUGAAUCAGGAACAAGGGCUAUUAGCCCAGGUGGUUAGAGCGCACCCCUGAUAAGGGUGAGGUCCCUGGUUCGAGUCCAGGAUGGCCCACCUGCACAGGUGGCAAAAACAAAGAAGAGAAGCUCCGAAUCAGCACCUUAUCUUAUCUAUAGAUAAGAGAGAAUGCUGGCUCUGAGUUCAGAGUCCAGAGGAACCUUGAAAACUGCAUAGAGCUAGGUGAAAAAGCCAAAAAAGAAGACCGCAA
rnacentral:tRNA from 1 species